GACGAACGCUGGCGGCGUGCUUAACACAUGCAAGUCGUACGGUAAGGCCCUUUCGGGGGUACACGAGUGGCGAACGGGUGAGUAACACGUGAGUAACCUGCCCACAACUUUGGGAUAACGAUAGGAAACUGGUGCUAAUACUGGAUAUGUGCUCCUGCUGCAUGGUGGGGGUUGGAAAGCUCCGGCGGUUGUGGAUGGACUCGCGGCCUAUCAGCUUGUUGGUGGGGUAGUGGCCUACCAAGGCGGCGACGGGUAGCCGGCCUGAGAGGGUGACCGGCCACAUUGGGACUUAGAUACGGCCCAGACUCCUACGGGAGGCAGCAGUGGGGAAUAUUGCACAAUGGGCGCAAGCCUGAUGCAGCAACGCCGCGUGCGGGAUGACGGCCUUCGGGUUGUAAACCGCUUUCAGCAGGGACGAAGCUUUUUGUGACGGUACCUGCAGAAGAAGCACCGGCUAACUACGUG
rnacentral:rRNA from 1 species